GACGAACGCUGGCGGCGUGCUUAACACAUGCAAGUCGAACGGAAAGGCCUGCUUUCCCUUGUGGAUUGCGGGUACUCGAGUGGCGAACGGGUGAGUAACACGUGAGUGAUCUGCCCCCAACUUGGGUAUAAGCCUGGGAAACUGGGUCUAAUUCCCGAUAGGACUGCAGGGUGGUGCCUGUGGUGGAAAACGAUUUUCUAGUGGUUGGGGAUGAGCUCGCGGCCUAUCAGCUUGUUGGUGGGGUAAUGGCCUACCAAGGCGGCGACGGGUAGCCGGCCUGAGAGGGUGGACGGCGACAUUGGGACUGAGAGACGGCCCAGACUCCUACGGGAGGCAGCAGUGGGGAAUAUUGCACAAUGGGCGGAAGCCUGAUGCAGCGACGCCGCGUGGGGGAUGACGGCCUUCGGGUUGUAAACUCCUUUCGACCGCGAGGAAGCCACCUGGUUGGAAGGGUGGUGACGGUAGUGGUAGAAGAAGCACCGGCUAACUACGUG
rnacentral:rRNA from 1 species